GANGCGCUGGCGNCNCCCUAUACAUGCAAGUCGAGCGGUAGAGAGAAGCUUGCUUCUCUUGAGAGCGGCGGACGGGUGAGUAAUGCCUAGGAAUCUGCCUGGUAGUGGGGGAUAACGCUCGGAAACGGACGCUAAUACCGCAUACGUCCUACGGGAGAAAGCAGGGGACCUUCGGGCCUUGCGCUAUCAGAUGAGCCUAGGUCGGAUUAGCUAGUUGGUGAGGUAAUGGCUCACCAAGGCGACGAUCCGUAACUGGUCUGAGAGGAUGAUCAGUCACACUGGAACUGAGACACGGUCCAGACUCCUACGGGAGGCAGCAGUGGGGAAUAUUGGACAAUGGGCGAAAGCCUGAUCCAGCCAUGCCGCGUGUGUGAAGAAGGUCUUCGGAUUGUAAAGCACUUUAAGUUGGGAGGAAGGGCAUUAACCUAAUACGUUAGUGUUUUGACGUUACCGACAGAAUAAGCACCGGCUAACUCUGUGCCAGCAGCCGCGGUAAUACAGAGGGUGCAAGCGUUAAUCGGAAUUACUGGGCGUAAAGCGCGCGUAGGUGGUUUGUUAAGUUGAAUGUGAAAUCCCCGGGCUCAACCUGGGAACUGCAUCCAAAACUGGCAAGCUAGAGUAUGGUAGAGGGUGGUGGAAUUUCCUGUGUAGCGGUGAAAUGCGUAGAUAUAGGAAGGAACACCAGUGGCGAAGGCGACCACCUGGACUGAUACUGACACUGAGGUGCGAAAGCGUGGGGAGCAAACAGGAUUAGAUACCUGGUAGUCCCGCCGUAACGAUGUCACUANCNUUGGGGACUUGAGUCUUAUGGNCACUACCAUAAGUNACNCUGGGAUCGCCCAGUUAACUNAUANUGCGGGCCCCAGCGNGACUUGUUAUNNACACCAAACUCCGCUGNUCANACUCAAUGAGAUCUCGACUANGNCNUGUUCCCCCGCGAUUGUAUCUAACNCUUNNUCCCUGGGCUAGAUCGAACGAGGANCANGCUCGCCNNAGGAGCCGGANANACNNNCCGAAAAANGACCCCCNGGAUUGGGGNNGGGC
rnacentral:rRNA from 1 species